rnacentral:rRNA from 1 species
UACAGAGGUGGCAAGCGUUGUUCGGAAUUACUGGGCGUAAAGGGCGCGUAGGCGGCCUUCUAAGUCAGGCGUGAAAUCCCCCGGCUUAACCUGGGAACUGCGUCUGAUACUGGGAGGCUAGAGUGCGGGAGAGGGAUGCGGAAUUCCAGGUGUAGCGGUGAAAUGCGUAGAUAUCGUGUGGAACGCCAAUGGUGAAAACAGGUUGCUGGGGGUGUGCUGACGCUGAGACACGAAAGCCAGGGGAGCAAACGGG